AACGAACGCUGGCGGCAUGCCUAACACAUGCAAGUCGAACGAGACCUUCGGGUCUAGUGGCGCACGGGUGCGUAACGCGUGGGAACCUGCCCUUAGGUUCGGAAUAACUCCCCGAAAGGGGUGCUAAUACCGGAUAAUGUCUUCGGACCAAAGAUUUAUCGCCUUUGGAUGGGCCCGCGUUGGAUUCGCUGGUUGGUAGGGUAAAAGCCUACCAAGGCGACGAUCCAUAGCUGGCCUGAGAGGAUGAUCAGCCACACUGGGACUGAGACACGGCCCAGACUCCUACGGGAGGCAGCAGUGGGGAAUAUUGGACAAUGGGCGAAAGCGUGAUACAGCAAUGCCGCGUGAGUGAUGAAGGCCUUAGGGUUGUAAAGCUCUUUUACCCGGGAUGAUAAUGACAGUACCGGGAGAAUAAGCUCCGGCUAACUCCGUG
rnacentral:rRNA from 1 species